rnacentral:rRNA from 1 species
UCAAGUGAAGAAGCGCAUACGGUGGAUGCCUUGGCAGUCAGAGGCGAUGAAAGACGUGGUAGCCUGCGAAAAGCUUCGGGGAGUCGGCAAACAGACUGUGAUCCGGAGAUGUCUGAAUGGGGGAACCCAGCCAUCACAAGAUGGUUAUCUUACACUGAAUACAUAGGUGUAAGAGGCGAACCAGGGGAACUGAAACAUCUAAGUACCCUGAGGAAAAGAAAUCAACCGAGAUUCCCUUAGUAGUGGCGAGCGAACGGGGACCAGCCCUUAAGUUGUAUUGAGAUUAGCGGAACGCUCUGGAAAGUGCGGCCAUAGUGGGUGAUAGCCCUGUACGCGAAAAUCCCUUUGCAAUGAAAUCGAGUAGGACGGGGCACGAGAAACCUUGUCUGAAUAUGGGGGGACCAUCCUCCAAGGCUAAAUACUACUGACUGACCGAUAGUGAACCAGUACCGUGAGGGAAAGGCGAAAAGAACCGCGGAGAGCGGAGUGAAAUAGAUCCUGAAACCGUAUGCGUACAAGCAGUGGGAGCCCACUUUGUUGGGUGACUGCGUACCUUUUGUAUAAUGGGUCAGCGACUUAUUUUCAGUGGCGAGCUUAACCGAAUAGGGGAGGCGUAGCGAAAGCGAGUCUUAAUAGGGCGUCUAGUCGCUGGGAAUAGACCCGAAACCGGGCGAUCUAUCCAUGGGCAGGUUGAAGGUUGGGUAACACUAACUGGAGGACCGAACCGACUACCGUUGAAAAGUUAGCGGAUGACCUGUGGAUCGGAGUGAAAGGCUAAUCAAGCUCGGAGAUAGCUGGUUCUCCUCGAAAGCUAUUUAGGUAGCGCCUCAUGUAUCACUGUAGGGGGUAGAGCACUGUUUCGGCUAGGGGGUCAUCCCGACUUACCAAACCGAUGCAAACUCCGAAUACCUACAAGUGCCGAGCAUGGGAGACACACGGCGGGUGCUAACGUCCGUCGUGAAAAGGGAAACAACCCAGACCGUCAGCUAAGGUCCCAAAGUCAUGGUUAAGUGGGAAACGAUGUGGGAAGGCUUAGACAGCUAGGAGGUUGGCUUAGAAGCAGCCACCCUUUAAAGAAAGCGUAAUAGCUCACUAGUCGAGUCGGCCUGCGCGGAAGAUGUAACGGGGCUCAAACCAUGCACCGAAGCUACGGGUAUCACCUUUGGUGAUGCGGUAGAGGAGCGUUCUGUAAGCCUGUGAAGGUGAGUUGAGAAGCUUGCUGGAGGUAUCAGAAGUGCGAAUGCUGACAUGAGUAACGACAAUGGGUGUGAAAAACACCCACGCCGAAAGACCAAGGUUUCCUGCGCAACGUUAAUCGACGCAGGGUUAGUCGGUCCCUAAGGCGAGGCUGAAAAGCGUAGUCGAUGGAAAACAGGUUAAUAUUCCUGUACUUCUGGUUAUUGCGAUGGAGGGACGGAGAAGGCUAGGCCAGCCUGGCGUUGGUAGUCCAGGUUUAAGGUGGUAGGCUGAGAUCUUAGGUAAAUCCGGGAUCUUAAGGCCGAGAGCUGAUGACGAGUGUUCUUUUAGAACAUGAAGUGGUUGAUGCCAUGCUUCCAAGAAAAGCUUCUAAGCUUCAGGUAACCAGGAACCGUACCCCAAACCGACACAGGUGGUUGGGUAGAGAAUACCAAGGCGCUUGAGAGAACUCGGGUGAAGGAACUAGGCAAAAUGGCACCGUAACUUCGGGAGAAGGUGCGCCGGUGAGGGUGAAGCAUUUACUGCGUAAGCCCACGCCGGUCGAAGAUACCAGGCCGCUGCGACUGUUUAUUAAAAACACAGCACUCUGCAAACACGAAAGUGGACGUAUAGGGUGUGACGCCUGCCCGGUGCCGGAAGGUUAAUUGAUGGGGUUAGCGCAAGCAAAGCUCUUGAUCGAAGCCCCGGUAAACGGCGGCCGUAACUAUAACGGUCCUAAGGUAGCGAAAUUCCUUGUCGGGUAAGUUCCGACCUGCACGAAUGGCGUAACGAUGGCGGCGCUGUCUCCACCCGAGACUCAGUGAAAUUGAAAUCGCUGUGAAGAUGCAGUGUAUCCGCGGCUAGACGGAAAGACCCCGUGAACCUUUACUAUAGCUUUGCACUGGACUUUGAAUUUGCUUGUGUAGGAUAGGUGGGAGGCUUUGAAGCGUGGACGCCAGUCUGCGUGGAGCCAACCUUGAAAUACCACCCUGGCAACUUUGAGGUUCUAACUCAGGUCCGUUAUCCGGAUCGAGGACAGUGUAUGGUGGGUAGUUUGACUGGGGCGGUCUCCUCCUAAAGAGUAACGGAGGAGUACGAAGGUGCGCUCAGACCGGUCGGAAAUCGGUCGUAGAGUAUAAAGGCAAAAGCGCGCUUGACUGCGAGACAGACACGUCGAGCAGGUACGAAAGUAGGUCUUAGUGAUCCGGUGGUUCUGUAUGGAAGGGCCAUCGCUCAACGGAUAAAAGGUACUCCGGGGAUAACAGGCUGAUACCGCCCAAGAGUUCAUAUCGACGGCGGUGUUUGGCACCUCGAUGUCGGCUCAUCACAUCCUGGGGCUGAAGCCGGUCCCAAGGGUAUGGCUGUUCGCCAUUUAAAGUGGUACGCGAGCUGGGUUUAGAACGUCGUGAGACAGUUCGGUCCCUAUCUGCCGUGGACGUUUGAGAUUUGAGAGGGGCUGCUCCUAGUACGAGAGGACCGGAGUGGACGAACCUCUGGUGUUCCGGUUGUCACGCCAGUGGCAUUGCCGGGUAGCUAUGUUCGGAAAAGAUAACCGCUGAAAGCAUCUAAGCGGGAAACUUGCCUCAAGAUGAGAUCUCACUGGAACCUUGAGUUCCCUGAAGGGCCGUCGAAGACUACGACGUUGAUAGGUUGGGUGUGUAAGCGCUGUGAGGCGUUGAGCUAACCAAUACUAAUUGCCCGUGAGGCUUGACCAU